rnacentral:rRNA from 1 species
GAUAAACGCUGGCGGCGUGCCUAACACAUGCAAGUCGAACGUCCUUGGUGUCUUCGGACAGCAAGGGAGUGGCGGACGGGUGAGUAACACGUGGGUACCUACCCUGGGGUGAGGAAUACCGGCGAGAAAUCGCCGACAAGACCGCAUACGCUCUGCUUCUUUCGAGGGAGAGCAAAGCCGAAAGGCGCCCUGGGAUGGGCCUGCGGCCGAUUAGCUAGUUGGUGAGGUAAGAGCUCCCCAAGGCGACGAUCGGUAGCUGGUCUGAGAGGACGAACAG